rnacentral:rRNA from 1 species
GCACUGUAGUCAGAGUUUGAUCCUGGCUCAGGAUGAACGCUAGCGAUAGGCUUAACACAUGCAAGUCGAGCGCGUCUUAUCGGUGCUUGCACUGAGAAAGAUGAGCGGCGGACGGGUGAGUAACGCGUGGGUAACCUGCCCUAUACACAUGGAUAACAUACUGAAAAGUUUACUAAUACAUGAUAAUAUAUAUUUACGGCAUCGUAGAUAUAUCAAAGUGUUAGCGGUAUAGGAUGGACCCGCGUCUGAUUAGCUAGUUGGUGAGAUAACUGCCCACCAAGGCGACGAUCAGUAGCCGACCUGAGAGGGUGAUCGGCCACAUUGGAACUGAGACACGGUCCAA